GUCACCUUCCACCAGGUCCCUCCCUGACACUUGGGGAUUACAAUUUGAGAUGAGAUUUGGGUGAGGACACAGAGCCAAACCAUAUCAACACCUCUUCCUUUAGAAAGCCUUUUAUGAACAUCCCAGUCCCCAGUGAUCUCUCCCUUCUAUCAGAGUUUCUACUGUCCCUGAGGCUCCCCACUAAUUCUUAUGGAGCCUAGUGUGAAAAAAUGCAGAGACAUCCUGUGGAAGAUUCUGUGGACAUCAAAAGCAUCCUGGAACAAGGUGUACUGUGUACCAUGCACUUUCUGUGGAUAUAAUGAGCAAGAGAAAUAAGCCAUCUCUGCAUGCAGGAGUUUCAGCUUAACUGGAAAACUAAACAAGAAACUACAGUCAACAUGCUAUCAUGGGGAAGGACAGGAGUCUCUUUCCGGAGAGGUUUGUCCAGAAUUUCCCAACAUUGGCUGUACAGCAGAACGAACUGAGAGCUUUAAAAAAUGCCACUGCCUUUAGUACCACUGCAGACCAACUAAUCAGAACUCUUUUUU
rnacentral:lncRNA from 1 species